rnacentral:misc_RNA from 1 species
GAUGAAGAACGUAGCGAAAUGCGAUAAGUAAUGCGAAUUGCAGAAUUCCAGUGAGUCAUCGAAUCUUUGAACGCACAUUGCGCCCUUUGGUAUUCCGAAGGGCAUGCCUGUUCGAGCGUCAUUAUCACCCCUCAAGCCCCCGGCUUGGUGUUGGACGGUUUGGUGGAGGCCCCCUCGGGGGCUCCUGCCCCUCCCAAAGACAAUGACGGCGGCCUCGUUGGACCCCCGGUACACUGAGUUCUUCACGGGACACGUAUCGGACACAUGGGUUUACGGGACACGGUCUGCCUCCCCUCAGGGAGAAUCUUUCUAAGGUUGACCUCGGAUCAGGUAGGGAUACCCGCUGAACUUAAGCAUAUCAUAAGCGGAGGA